rnacentral:rRNA from 1 species
ACGAGUGGUGCAAGCGUUAUUCGGAAUCAUUGGGCGUACAGGGCGUGUAGGUGGUAUGUUAAGUCUGUUGUUAAAGACUCUAGCCUAACUGGAGAAAGGCAAUGGAAACUGGUGUACUAGAGGGUGGAAGAGAGAAGUGGAAUUCUCGGUGUUGCGGUAAAAUGCGUAGAUAUCGAGAGGAACACCGAUGGCGAAGGCAGCAUCUUAGAACAUACCUGACUCUGAGGCGCGAAAGUGUGGGGAGCCAACAA